CGGUACAACUAGAGAAAAAAAAGGACACCCAGCACCGGCCCUUCCCUUACCUCCCGCACCCACGCCCCCCACCGUCGCCGCCUUCUUCCACCACGCCGGCGGCAUCCCUGCCCUGCGCGCCGCCACCUCCUUCCCCCGCGCCGGCGACCUCCAUGCCCCGCGCGCCGCCCCCUCCUUCCCCCGCGUUGGCGACCUCCCUGCCCCGCGCGCCGCCCCUCCCCCCUUACCCCGCUUCGAGCGCCUCUCUGCACUGCGCGUCACCCUCCUCCUUCCCCCGCGCCGUCCACCUCCCUCCACCGCAUUGCCACCCUCCCUCCCCACUCCGACCGCCUCUCUCCACCGCGCGCCGGCCACUUCCCUCCCCGGCGCACCGAACUCCUCCUUCCCCAAUGCCCGCCACCUACCUCCAUCGUGCACUCCCGACUUCCUCGUUCAUCCCGUUGUCAUAUCUCGGGCGCCGCCCUCCUGCAACCUGGGAUGCUCCUCCCGCCACCACUCUGCCUCCUUCCCGAUGUAGCUACGCCGCCGCCGCGUGUAGGAAGUCCAUCGCCUCCACCCCAGGACGUUCAAUGCCAUCGUCGUGGACGUGCCCCGCUCUAACACCAUGGAUUGCGAUUGAGCGGCAAACAAUGGAGCCUGCAGAAGGAGCCGCGGGGUCGAGGACCUCCAGUUCGUCAGUCCAACAAAGAGUUGUAGAAAGUUGAGACUAGUUUGCAUUAAGUACAAGUUUGGAAGGCCAGGAAGUUCUACCGCUGGCAUACACCAAGUUCAGAGAUGUUGCACGGAGUGAGACGACACUGCCGUAAAAAAUGGUUUAUUAGCAUACUGUUGUUUGGUACUUAUGCAUACUGUUGUAGAAGUGAAAAUUGUUGGGUGCAUGUGCAGAAAAAUUGCCAGUUCAGUUUUCAAAAUUCUGUAAGUUUGUUUUUAUUUUAUAAAAUUCUGUAAGUUUCUCGUGUGUGCUGCUACAAAUCUGAACUAUUUGUCUAGACAUUCUAGUACUGA